AUUGAACGCUGGCGGCAGGCCUAACACAUGCAAGUCGCACGAGUGGCGGACGGGUGAGUAAUGUAUGGGAAACUGCCUGAUGGCGGGGGAUAACUACUGGAAACGGUAGCUAAUCCCGCAUACCAUCAGAUGUACCCAGAUGGGAUUCGCUAGUUGGUGGGGUAACGGCUCACCAAGGCGACGAGCCCUAGCUGGUCUGAGAGGAUGACCAGCCACACUGGAACUGAGACACGGGCCAGAGUCCUACGGGAGGCAGCAGUGGGGAAUAUUGCACAAUGGGCGCAAGCCUGAUGCAGCCAUGCCGCGUGUAUGAAGAAGGCCGUCGGGUGGUAAAGUACUGUCAGCGGGGAGGCGUUACCCGCAGAAGAAGCACCGGCUAACUCCGUGCCAGCAGCCGCGGUAAUUC
rnacentral:rRNA from 1 species